CGGGCUGUAGCGCAGCUUGGUAGCGCAUCUGGCUGGGGGCCAGAGGGUCGCAGGUUCAAAUCCUGUCAGCCCGACCA
rnacentral:tRNA from 1 species